rnacentral:rRNA from 1 species
GUGGCGGACGGGUGAGUAAUGUCUGGGAAACUGCCCGAUGGAGGGGGAUAACUACUGGAAACGGUAGCUAAUACCGCAUAACGUCGCAAGACCAAAGAGGGGGACCUUCGGGCCUCUUGCCAUCGGAUGUGCCCAGAUGGGAUUAGCUAGUAGGUGGGGUAACGGCUCACCUAGGCGACGAUCCCUAGCUGGUCUGAGAGGAUGACCAGCCACACUGGAACUGAGACACGGUCCAGACUCCUACGGGAGGCAGCAGUGGGGAAUAUUGCACAAUGGGCGCAAGCCUGAUGCAGCCAUGCCGCGUGUAUGAAGAAGGCCUUCGGGUUGUAAAGUACUUUCAGCGGGGAGGAAGGGAGUAAAGUUAAUACCUUUGCUCAUUGACGUUACCCGCAGAAGAAGCACCGGCUAACUCCGUGCCAGCAGCCGCGGUAAUACGGAGGGUGCAAGCGUUAAUCGGAAUUACUGGGCGUAAAGCGCACGCAGGCGGUUUGUUAAGUCAGAUGUGAAAUCCCCGGGCUCAACCUGGGAACUGCAUCUGAUACUGGCAAGCUUGAGUCUCGUAGAGGGGGGUAGAAUUCCAGGUGUAGCGGUGAAAUGCGUAGAGAUCUGGAGGAAUACCGGUGGCGAAGGCGGCCCCCUGGACGAAGACUGACGCUCAGGUGCGAAAGCGUGGGGAGCAAACAGGAUUAGAUACCCUGGUAGUCCACGCCGUAAACGAUGUCGACUUGGAGGUUGUGCCCUUGAGGCGUGGCUUCCGGAGCUAACGCGUUAAGUCGACCGCCUGGGGAGUACGGCCGCAAGGUUAAAACUCAAAUGAAUUGACGGGGGCCCGCACAAGCGGUGGAGCAUGUGGUUUAAUUCGAUGCAACGCGAAGAACCUUACCUGGUCUUGACAUCCACGGAAGUUUUCAGAGAUGAGAAUGUGCCUUCGGGAACCGUGAGACAGGUGCUGCAUGGCUGUCGUCAGCUCGUGUUGUGAAAUGUUGGGUUAAGUCCCGCAACGAGCGCAACCCUUAUCCUUUGUUGCCAGCGGUCCGGCCGGGAACUCAAAGGAGACUGCCAGUGAUAAACUGGAGGAAGGUGGGGAUGACGUCA